rnacentral:lncRNA from 1 species
GUCAUUGAUGACUCGUCCAUUUGUGAUGAGUCAUAUGCCACAUGGAACUUUGUGAUGCAUCAUUUGCAUGCAAUGAAAUUUACAUGUCUACAAAUGCCCCCACUUCAAGGCGCAUUGUAGGCAUGUGAUUGUCACAUGUUUUGAAGUCCUGCAAUGUGAAUAUUCUAACUCAAGGGUCAUCGAGACUUGAUCUUGAAUUAGUUUGCUUCUUCAAGGGCCGUAGAGGUGUAUUUCUUGAAUUGAGAUGAUGAAUUUUGUCAAGGGCCACUGAGGCAUAUGUAAUACCCUGAAAAAUUUUAAAUAUAGGAUUAUGUGGAAUUUUUUUGGGUAAAUGGAAAUGACGAGAUGCCCUAAGGGAGGGUUAAACGUAAAUUUACAAAGGCGUAUUUGAUCCUCUUAUAUUUUGUCAUGUUUCUUGACACAUUUGGAUAGAGCUCGAUCUCAUGAACUUAUAGGCACAAAUCGUUCGUGAAACGGAGUUACAACGGAGAAGUUAUAAACAAGCAAAGUUAGGGAUGAAAUGGUCAUUUGAUCAUAAUCUGGAUUUCUCCAUAUAAUUUUGAGGUGCCACGUGGAGGGUUUUGGGGGAAGGAGGAUAGGCACUACCCAAUUAAAAAGAAGGAAGGAGGGAAAGGAGAGAAGGGGGAAGAAUGAGGGAGAACCGGGUCUCCCUUCGACCUGCACCUUCGACCCGUUCCUCCAUGAUUUCCGAUGGUUUUUCAUCAAAUUUCCCAUGAAUUGGACCAAGCCACCACUCCCAAACAUCAUCUAGCAUUUUCCUCCACCUUUUUCACCCUUGAUUUAGAAGAAAAUUUGUUGUAAACGGGUGGAGAACCGUCGAUGAGUGCGAUGAGUUGUGCGAGAAAUCCUAAAAUCCUGAAGCUAUUCCCACCAAUUACGACCACCAUUAGACUCCCCAUGAGGGCUAGAACAAAGCCCAAUUAGUUGUAGGGGCGGCGGAGUACCAGAGGUGGCAAAUUGACAGACACCCAUUCUAGGGUUUUCUGACGGGAGUGAGCAGAAUUGGAGCUUUUCCUGGCCAAAUUGGACUUGGCCGCAGGUAUAAGGUUUGCUCUACUCUUUGAGAUCUUCAUUUUUGUAAUUUUUGAGAAUAUUUAGAAAUAGUUGAAAUUUUCCAACGAGUCGGGGCGGCAGACCGCACGCACGGCGACGCAUGGCCAAUGAGCCGAUGCCGUCUUUUAAAGCAAAUUUUGAUAUUAUGAAACCAUAUUUGAUAUGCAUUUGGUGUGAUUCACUUGUUUGAACCUGGUUAGUGAUUGUUAGUCACUUAAAUGAUUUUCGGAAAUGAGUUAGAAAUUGAAUUUAUGAACUACGAAUUGCUUGAUCCUUUCGUAGGGUACGUAGGCAGUCUAACAAGAAGGUUAGAAGCAGCCAUAAUAAAAUAACUGAGAUUUAUUUUUUUCUUGGAAAUUGUCUAAGAAAAGGAAUUUGGUGAUUAUCUUCUGAAAUAAAUUUUGGGCCUAUCUUAGUAUUUGCUUCCAAAUAUAAAUUUUCGGGUCGUUACAGCAUAUUUCUUGAACGAAAUAUUUCAUCAAGGGCCUUUGAGGCUUGGUCUUGAAUGAAAUGAAAAUUUUCUUCAAGGGUCGUAGAGGCUUAAUCUUGAAUGAAAUGGAAAUUUUCUUCAAUGGUCGUAGAGGCUUGAUCUUGAAUGAAAAUUUUGAAAAUGGAUAAAUCGGCACAUACUUAUUGUGCGUAUUGAUUUUCAAUAAUUUUGACAAAAUACAUUUGGUGUAUUUUGAGGCUUGGAUUUUUUCCUUGUGGGUGUGGGAAAAAUGUUUUUUCCUUCCUUAGGUAGGAAUCUCCUUCAAUUUUGGUAAUGAGGGUGAUUUCCUUCAAAGUCUUGGAAAGCUUUAGUGAUUUCCUUCAAGAUUUUGGAAAGAUUUAAUGCUUGUCCUUGGGUAAGUAGGAUUUGCAUUUUUUUUUUUCCCUUUCUCUUUCCAUUUUUUCGGCCAAGGGAGCGUUUCCCUUUUGGUUUGGGAAACUUGAAGGCUUGUCCUUGCUUUAGAGAGAUUGCCUUUUGUAUUUUGGCAAGAAAAUGUGCUUUCCUUUGAUGUUUUGGAAAUUAUGAAGCCCUUUUCUUAUUAUUUUUUUUGUUUCCUUUUCUUUUCUUUGCUGAUUUUGUUGCAAAAAACAACAUUUUUUUCCCUAUUGCCAUGUAUCACCUUACCCUUUUUUUUGCUUGGAAUUUGCUUCCUUGUUGUAGCUGGAAUGUGCUUCCUUGUAUUGAUUUUCUUUUUGCUAUUUGGUAUGUACUCUCCCUAUAGCAUUAUGAGGCAAUUGACCCUUAUUUAUAAGACAAUUAGGUGUGUAUUUUUUUCACAAUUCCUUGCGGUGUGAACUGUUAUUGCUGCUGCCGUGUGUGCUGCUUGCUGCCUUGAGUUUGUAGCUAUUUGAAGUUUGUUGCAGUGCGUCACUUUUUACCAUGUGGUGCUGUGCAAAAGACUGCAGCGAGGUCACGAUGUGUAGUGCCUUUUGGUCGCAAUCUCCCUCGGUGGUGAUAUUGUCGUACAGUGCAAGAAAUGGCUUGUGUAAUCACUGUGGGGUUGCGUAAUGUGAUUGCAUAGCAUUUUGGUUUUCUUUGCUACUGUAGCGUGCUUUGAAGGAUCGUCUUGUAGUUGCCCUUUUUGUUGUGCUGCUCAAGCUUUGUGGCUGAUUUCUUUUCAUUUUUGUGACUUUGUCAUUGUCAUCCUUCAAGGCUCACAAGGUUUGUCUCGCAUGUCUUUUGCUUUAGUGAAGCAAUUUUUUUUCUUGCCACCCUACUCUUAUGCUUAUGUUGUUUUUCUUUUUCUCUUUUUUCAUUG